AUGGCGACCGGCGCACGGGUGAGUAACGCGUAUCCAACCUGCCCUUUACUAUGGGACAGCCCGUCGAAAGGCGGAUUAAUACCGUAUGUUGCCAUGUUGAUGCAUAUUUUCAUGACCAAAGGCUUCGGCCGGUAAAGGAUGGGGAUGCGUCUGAUUAGCUUGCCGGCGGGGUAACGGCCCACCGGGGCGACGAUCAGUAGGGGUUCUGAGAGGAAGGUCCCCCACAUUGGAACUGAGACACGGUCCAAACUCCUACGGGAGGCAGCAG
rnacentral:rRNA from 1 species